rnacentral:sRNA from 1 species
GUUGGGUGUGGAGGUGCACACCUGUAGUCCCAGCUACUUGGGAGGCUGAGGCAGGAGGAUCUCUUGAGCCCUGGGGUUGGGGGCCAGCCUAGACAACAUAAUGAGACCUCAUCUCUA